GGGCCCGCACAGCAGUGGAGCGUGUGGUUUAAUUCGAUGCUACACGAAGAACCUUACCAGGGUUUGACAUACAAGUAGUAGGGAAGGAAACUGGACCGACCUUCGGGAGCUUGCACAGGUGCUGCAUGGCUGUCGUCAGCUCGUGUCGUGAGAUGUUGGGUUAAGUCCCGCAACGAGCGCAACCCUUGUCAUUAGUUGCCAUCAUUUGGUUGGGCACUCUAAUGAGACUGCCGGUGACAAACCGGAGGGAAGGUGGGGAUGACGUCAAGUCCUCAUGGCCCUUAUGGGUAGGGCUUCACACGUCAUACAAUGGUCGGUACAGAGGGUUGCCAACCCGCGAGGGGGAGCUAAUCCCACAAAGCCGAUCGUAGUCCGGAUCGCAGUCUGCAACUCGACUGCGUGAAGUCGGAAUCGCUAGUAAUCGUGGAUCAGCAUGUCACGGUGAAUACGUUCCCGGGUCUU
rnacentral:rRNA from 1 species